CUCAGAUUGAACGCUGGCGGCAGGCCUAACACAUGCAAGUCGAACGGUAGCACAGAGGAGCUUGCUCCUUGGGUGACGAGUGGCGGACGGGUGAGUAAUGUCUGGGAAACUGCCCGAUGGAGGGGGAUAACUACUGGAAACGGUAGCUAAUACCGCAUAACGUCGCAAGACCAAAGAGGGGGACCUUCGGGCCUCUUGCCAUCGGAUGUGCCCAGAUGGGAUUAGCUAGUAGGUGGGGUAACGGCUCACCUAGGCGACGAUCCCUAGCUGGUCUGAGAGGAUGACCAGCCACACUGGAACUGAGACACGGUCCAGACUCCUACGGGAGGCAGCAGUGGGGAAUAUUGCACAAUGGGCGCAAGCCUGAUGCAGCCAUGCCGCGUGUAUGAAGAAGGCCUUCGGGUUGUAAAGUACUUUCAGCGAGGAGGAAGGCGUUGAGGUUAAUAACCUCAACGAUUGACGUUACUCGCAGAAGAAGCACCGGCUAACUCCGUGCCAGCAGCCGCGGUAAUACGGAGGGUGCAAGCGUUAAUCGGAAUUACUGGGCGUAAAGCGCACGCAGGCGGUCUGUCAAGUCGGAUGUGAAAUCCCCGGGCUCAACCUGGGAACUGCAUCCGAAACUGGCAGGCUAGAGUCUUGUAGAGGGGGGUAGAAUUCCAGGUGUAGCGGUGAAAUGCGUAGAGAUCUGGAGGAAUACCGGUGGCGAAGGCGGCCCCCUGGACAAAGACUGACG
rnacentral:rRNA from 1 species